rnacentral:rRNA from 1 species
UACGUAGGGUGCAAGCGUUAAUCGGAAUUACUGGGCGUAAAGCGUGCGCAGGCGGUGAUGUAAGACAGAUGUGAAAUCCCCGGGCUCAACCUGGGAACUGCAUUUGUGACUGCAUCGCUGGAGUGCGGCAGAGGGGGAUGGAAUUCCGCGUGUAGCAGUGAAAUGCGUAGAUAUGCGGAGGAACACCGAUGGCGAAGGCAAUCCCCUGGGCCUGCACUGACGCUCAUGCGCGAAAGCGUGGGGAGCGAUCCGG